UGAAAACUUUUUAAUAGUGAAGAUUUUCAAUAUUGAAGAAUUUUUAAUACCAUACAAUGUUUAAAAUAUGUAGUUAUAGUUUGGUCAUUUCAUUUAGCGUGGAUCAAUGUAAAUUAGCACGAGAUUAUGCGAUGUAAGAGAAGAGGCGCUAUAAAAGUUUAUGCAUGAACAGAGAUAACCUUUGUUCAAAAACAAGAAAACCAUAUAUGUAUUUUUGACGUUUAUAGAAAAAAAUGUUUUUAUUAAUUCACAAGUUUUUAUCGGUUUUAAAAGCGUACAAGAGAAUGGAGAAGAAAAAGAAAGACUUGUACCCAUGCAUACAUCACCUUUAAGCGGAUAUGAAAGAACAUCAACCAAAUUGUCCUGAAAGUGUUACACAGAUACGCCAUUCGAAAUACUGAUAUGUAUAUAUAGUGUAGUUUUGUAAUUUUAGUAUAAUUUUUUCCAAACAAACAACUAAAAAUAAUCAUCUGUACCCAUUUAUACACCUACUCUGUAAAAUGUUUAAACGUCAAUUACAAUCGGUUUCGAAAGAUAAAUAUUUGAAGUUGACUGAAGAGGAGCAACAUAAGGCCCGAAACGUGUAAACAACUCGUAUCAACUAAAUGAACAAAUAAAAGGAUGAAAGGAUGCCUAGUGUUUGAUUAAUUGCACUUUUAUAGUGCUUACGAAACAAAAACAUGCUACGACACUGUUUCAAAUCGAUGAAAUUUUGAAUUUUUUUGCCAAUAUAUUUUUAUAAAUUGUAAUAUAUAUUAAUUCCACUAAAUGUUUUAUAUUUA